GCACGGUGGCGCAGUGGAUACUGCUCUUGUCUUGUCUUGCAGCAAGAGGGUCCUGGGUUCGACUCCCGGCCGGGGGGUCUUUCA